rnacentral:rRNA from 1 species
GAUGAACGCUAGCUACAGGCUUAACACAUGCAAGUCGAGGGGCAUCAGGAAGAAAGCUUGCUUUCUUUGCUGGCGACCGGCGCACGGGUGAGUAACACGUAUCCAACCUGCCCUUUACUCGGGGAUAGCCUUUCGAAAGAAAGAUUAAUACCCGAUAGCAUAAUGAUUCCGCAUGGUUUCAUUAUUAAAGGAUUCCGGUAAAGGAUGGGGAUGCGUUCCAUUAGGUAGUUGGUGGGGUAACGGCCUACCAAGCCGACGAUCAGUAGCCGACCUGAGAGGGUGACCGGCCACAUUGGGACUGAGACACGGCUCAA